rnacentral:snoRNA from 1 species
AUCCCAUGAUGAAGAUACUUAUGAAGUAAUUCCUUGAAUAUUUCCCAAGCGUCAUACAAAGACUCAUUAUCCAAUUGUUGAAAAUUUGUUAUCUCAUUACGCAAUUU